AAUUUCGGGUAAUUGCAGUCUAGCUUAACUAGAUUGAGGAAAGUCCAUGCUCGCACAAGCUGCGACGCUUGUAGUGUUCGUGCUUAGCGAAACAAUAAGCUAAGGCCUUUAUCUUUAGAUAAAGUGACGGCAGAAAAAAAGUCUAAGGUUUUUUAAAACUAUGACUGAGUAUUCUUGAAAGUGCCACAGUGACGAAGCAAUGUUGGAAACGGCAUUGGUGGAACGCGGUAAACCCCUCGAGCGAGCAACCCAAACUUUGGUAGGGGCACUUUUCCUAGGGAAUUGAACCGAUGGAAGAGGCAGUAAUUGCAGACAGAUAAUUACCUCCGGAUAAUAUGACCCUGACAGGUUAUCUGAGACAGAACAUGGCUUACAGAA
rnacentral:RNase_P_RNA from 2 species